rnacentral:rRNA from 1 species
AGUGAACGCUGGCGGCAGGCCUAACACAUGCAAGCCGAGCGGUAGAGAGAAGCUUGCUUCUCUUGAGAGCGGCGGACGGGUGAGUAAUGCCUAGGAAUCUGCCUGGUAGUGGGGGAUAACGUUCGGAAACGGACGCUAAUACCGCAUACCUCCUACGGGAGAAAGCAGGGGACCUUCGGGCCUUGCGCUAUCAGAUGAGCCUAGGUCGGAUUAGCUAGUUGGUGGGGUAAUGGCUCACCAAGGCGACGAUCCGUAACUGGUCUGAGAGGAUGAUCAGUCACACUGGAACAGAGACACGGUCCAGUCACCUACGGGAGGCAGCAGUGGGGAAUAUUGGACAAUGGGCGAAAGCCUGAUCCAGCCAUGCCGCGUGUGUGAAGAAGGUCUUCGGAUUGUAAAGCACUUUAAGUUGGGAGGAAGGGCAGUAAAUUAAUACUUUGCUGUUUUGACGUUACCGACAGAAUAAGCACCGGCUAACUCUGUGCCAGCCGCCGCCGUAA